UACGUAGGGUCCAAGCGUUAUCCGGAAUCACUGGGCGUAAAGCGUGCGUAGGUGGAUUGUUAAGUGCGAUGCGGAAACUCCUGUGGCUCAACCAUAUGGACUGUAUCGGCAUACUGGCUAUCUAGAGGACAUGAGAGGCAAGUGGAAUUACUGGUGUAGCAGUGAAAUGCGUAGAGAUCAGUAGGAACACCAAUGGCGAAGGCAGCUUGCUGGCAUGUAUCGUGACGCUAAGGCACGAAAGCGUGGGGAGCGAACAGG
rnacentral:rRNA from 1 species